rnacentral:rRNA from 1 species
GACGAACGCUGGCGGCGUGCCUAAUACAUGCAAGUAGAACGCACAGUUUAUACCGUAGCUUGCUACACCAUAGACUGUGAGUUGCGAACGGGUGAGUUACGCGUAGGUAACCUGCCUGGUAGCGGGGGAUAACUAUUGGAAACGAUAGCUAAUACCGCAUAAUAUUAAUUAUUGCAUGAUAAUUAAUUGAAAGGUGCAAUUGCACCACUACCAGAUGGACCUGCGUUGUAUUAGCUAGUAGGUGAGGUAACGGCUCACCUAGGCGACGAUACAUAGCCGACCUGAGAGGGUGAUCGGCCACACUGGGACUGAGACACGGCCCAGACUCCUACGGGAGGCAGCAGUAGGGAAUCGUCGGCAAUGGACGAAAGUCUGACCGAGCAACGCCGCGUGAGUGAAGAAGGAUUUCGGAUCGUAAAGCUCUGUUGUAAGAGAAGAACGGGUGUGAGAGUGGAAAGUUCACACUGUGACGGUAUCUUACCAGAAAGGGACGGCUAACUACGUG